rnacentral:lncRNA from 1 species
GGGCUGGGGAACUGUUUUUGGGUUGAGUUGGACAUGAUUCGAUCUGUGGGCUGGUUUGGUUUGGGCCCGAAAUCUGAUCUGGACCUAUAAUCUGGUUUGGUUCAAUUGGGCCUAAUCUGUUUUGGGCCACAAUUGGCUUUGGGUUUCAAGGAUUCUGAUUUUGGGGUUUUGGUUUACUUGUUCUUAGGGUCUAUGUUUGAUCUUGGGGGCCCAUUCUUGGAUCUAUGAACUUAGGAGUUUAAGGGAUUGAAAAUUAGUUUAAAUUAUGUUUCUUAGUUAAUUAAAUAAUUAAUGUUUAUGUUUUAAUCAGGGGUUCGUGAUAUCUGUGGCAGGGAUUGUUAAGCUAGCCCAGGUAGGUGACCUAUUGCUUUAAAGUAGAAUUUUAACAUGUAUCUGCAUAUGUUGAUGUUAUGAUUUAUUAUUGGCAUUAUGUGUUAGAAUUAGAAUUAAAUAUUUAAUUUCAUAAACUGUUAUGUGCUUUACUAUUGGGAGCAUUAUCAUGACUUUGAUUUGGAAAUUUACCAUGUGGAAAGUUGAUUUAUUGAUUUUUAAAACCGCGUGACUAUAGUCUAGGCCUCGCCAAUGGGAUGAUACGUUGGCCUUGUCGACUUGUACUGAGGAACUAGUUCCGACACCGCGACCACCGGUGAUAGAAUAGUGGCGGCACAGGGGUGCGUUUUGCUCUUCGGAGCGACUUGGUGGAGCGUAAGAUUGGCACCAGGGGGUGCGGCACAGUGGUGCAUUGGCUCAGUGGAGCGGCUCUGCGGAGAGUUGUAUUGACACUUCGAUGUAACCAUGCCACUGGGUGAUGUGGCCGUAGUCAUGCGGUUGAGUUAUUUUGAGUCUCGGAUCGGAUUUACGGAUUAUCGUGUGGAUUUGUUGGAUUCAUGAGUUUUAGCUGCUUUUUAUAUGCAUCAUGACAUGUUAUAUGAUGACUUUAUUGCAUGAUGUUGCCUACUGAGUUGUUAGCUCACUCCUAUUAUUUACAUUUUUGCAGGUGAUGACAUAUGAUUAUAGGGAUUACGGGAUGGAGUGGUCAUGAUGUAUUUAGCUAGUAGAUAUUGACUUUUCUUUUGACAUAUGUAUAUGUGGAUAUUUGAUAUGAAAACUGGAAUUUAUCUUUAUUUAGUUAUUGAUGGUUGAUCUGAUUUAUCUGCCUUGCGUGCCUGCGGGGUCCGCCCUGCAGGUGCGCGGCGUCUGCUCGCGUCCCAGGCCCCGGGUUCGGGGCGUGACAGAUUUAUUGGCCCAUAACCUAUGUGGACUAGGGAACACUGCAGCACGGAUCCGUUGGGGCUGACCACGGACCAAUCGUGGUAUUUGUGAUUAGAUUUGAAUAGAUAUGAACCCUUAGCCUGACGAGGACGUCAGGGCUUGAACGGGGGGAGUAUGUGAGGACCUCUGCGGGCGUGUGUUUAGUCCCACAUCGGUUAUUCGCUGG